UACAGAGGGUGCGAGCGUUGUCCGGAAUCACUGGGCGUAAAGGGCGCGUAGGUGGUGGCUUAAGCGUGCGGUGAAAGCUCGGGGCUCAACCCCGAGUCGGCCGUGCGAACUGGGCUCACUGGAGCAUAGUAGAGGCAGGUGGAAUUCCGGGUGUAGCGGUGGAAUGCGUAGAGAUCCGGAAGAACACCGGUGGCGAAGGCGGCCUGCUGGGCUAUGGCUGACACUGAGGCACGAAAGCGUGGGGAGCAAACAGG
rnacentral:rRNA from 1 species